GAACGUUUCAGCUCGCUGAAACUAGUAAAGUGGCGAACGGGUGAGUAACGCGUGGGUAAUCUACCUCCGAAUUGGGGAUAACAUUGCGAAAGCGAUGCUAAUACCGAAUGACAUCUCAAUCACUCCGGUUUUUUGAGAUCAAAGGUGGCCUCUCCAUGGAAGCUACUGUUUGGAGAUGAGCACGCGUACCAUUAGCUUGUUGGUAGGGUAAUGGCCUACCAAGGCGACGAUGGUUAGCUGGUCUGAGAGGAUGAUCAGCCACACUGGAACUGACACACGGUCCAGACUCCUACGGGAGGCAGCAGUGAGGAAUUUUGCGCAAUGGGGGAAACCCUGACGCAGCAACGCCGCGUGAGUGAUGAAGGCUCUCGGGUCGUAAAGCUCUGUCAAGUGAGAAGAACCUGCCUUUUUGCUAAUAUCACUGGGCACUGACGGUAUCACUGAAGGAAGCACCGGCUAACUCCGUG
rnacentral:rRNA from 1 species